UGCAACUUCUAGACUGCAAGGUCUUUUGCAUCACCAGAAAGACGAUUUUCUGAAACAGCAGGCCCAUUUGCAGAAUUUUGUAGUUCAUUAAUUGUUCCGUUAAAAUUCAUUUUCCUCCCUGAUACCUUAACACUGCCUCCAUGCAAAGGUUGCUCAUGAUCCGAUCUACAUUCUCCAGUUACACCACUUGAAUCAGAAGAUUCUGAUUCACA
rnacentral:misc_RNA from 1 species